CUCAGGCCCCUGGGGCUUGGCCUGGGUCUCCUUGGCCGCCGCAGCACCGUCCCGCAGGGCUGUCCCCAGGGCUCUCCCUUCCUGCCGGGUGCGGAGCCGCCUCUCCCAGCCCGCGUCCGCCUCCCUGGGGGCACUGCAGCCAGUCCCCCCUCUCUUCGGAAGAUGCUAAUCUAGAGGUCGAGAGAGGUCGAAAGCAUUGAUGUAAGGCGUGAUGGUCACACUCUGAAAGGGAACGGUGACAAGUUGAGACAAAAGGGAAAAGAAGAUAAUUUAUAAGAGGCACUGCAGGAAAAUAAGCUUCAUUCCUUACCUGGAAAAGCAACCAUGAAACGUGACCAAGAAAGAGUACGGCUGAUGCGGUGUCAGUCAUACAGAAGUGACCUGCGGACCUGAUGGCAUCACCAGAGAUUUUUAAACUGUGGACAGAGGAUCUGUCAGAUUGUUACUGCUUAAUUUCAUACCAACGAAAUUUGGAAGUCUUCUCAACUGACAGUCUUACCGACUCAGAAACUGGUUUAUGACUUGUCGUGAUCUUUAACCUUUGUGUUCUUUCCAUUUUCAUAGAGUGUGUACUAUGACCUUAUUUACCUGAUUGCUGGUUAACAUAGUAUACGCCUGACUUUAGAAGCCCAUCUGCAUCACCCCCGCCUAAGAUGAGAGUCAACGGUUUAACUGGAUUGACUUGCUAUCAGCACUAGAUGGUUGGGUUGGAUACAACAAUUCCAUAUCAAGAGGAAGAUGUUUUAAGAUUCCAGGCUAUCUCUGCUUUGGAAGAAUUGGCUAAUGGGAUUCCACUCUCUGUUCCAGUCUCAGGUCCCAUUCCCUGGUCUCUCUUAGAUUAGACAGGCAGGGACCUCAACCCUUGUCAGCAGGAAGCAGUUACUGAAGAGAAGGAAACCCUCCUCCCUCAUCACCCUUAGAAGAUUUUAGGGAUGGGAGUCUCUGAGGGGGGAAUGAGGCAGGAUAGUAAGAAGCUAGGAAAAUUUCUUGGCAAGUAGAAUAGGGAAACUGAGACAGAGAGCUGAACACAAUGGCUGAGCAGUUUACAGCUAGGUUGGUUCAGGUGGUUAGCUGGGUGGAAGGCCCAGACUGCUUGUCAGGGGGCAAAACUGAGAUAAAAAGGAUCCCAUCCCCAUGGUAACCUCUCCUCCCCUGGUCUUUCCUCUCCGGAGACAACAUCCAGGACGAAGUUGUGUUUCAGCUCCAGACCCAGAAAAGCAGCAAGAUCCGGUGGCCAACAUAAGUAGGUCACACUGAACCAGGACUAGCUACAAUGACUGAAGACCCCCUGCCCUGCCACUGACUGAUUGGAGACCAUGACCUGGAAAGGGCGCACCUAGAGAACUGAUGCAUAUUUUGCUGAAAAUCUCCCCUGAGACCUCUCCUAAUAUUUAAACCUGCAAGAGAGAGGUAAAAGCCUCAAGACAAAGGACCCAUCCCACCUGUGCUCUCCCUCUGGGGAGCAGCCAGCAACAUUCGCUUUCCCUUCUUCUCCCUCAACUUCUUUCUUCACAGGCACGCAUGUCCUAAACUCUAAGGCAAUGGGCAGCUGGCAGCUUGUCCCACACGGACGAUCCCCUGACCUGUCCUUAAAAAGCCCCCUUUUCUCUGACUUCUGGGGUAGGGUCAGAGAGGGCAUUCAUCCUUCUGAAUUAGGCAUCAGAGGAGGCAGGACAUCCCCCGCAGGGCUGUAAGGGCUUAUGACCACCCAGCCUUCGGAGGAACCCAUGGGAGACACCUGGGCUUUCCCGCUCAAGGUAUUUUAUGGGUACUUGGGAUCAAGGUCCAGAGUCCCAGGAUUGCACUUGUGGGAAGUGAGGAUGUCCUUGGUCUUCAAGGACUUAGGUAUAAGUGGUAGAUCUCCCCUUUUAUCAGGGCUGUCCUGGUUGUUCUGUUUGCUGUUCCACACCUGAUUGUUUUUGUUCUUUGCCAUCCCUUUUGUGGAUUCUUCCUGGACUUUCACCUCCAUUUCCUUUGGGCCAGGAUGUGGGAUGUUACCAGAUGGGCCCAGCUUCACAACCUUGAAUCCCUGCUCAGGUGGUGAAGGCAGGAGAGAAAAUCUUUGCUUUGGAGGGGGGAUACAGACAGUUCUUGAGGGUCCAAACACUCUAGAAUUUCGAGCAGACAGCACAAGCUUCUUUGGAGGGUCCUUCCAGUUCACCAAGGGGAGAAUCCCCACAGGGGAGCACAUCGUCUUCAGCAGAGGACACUGCCUUCUUGCUGUGAUGUAAA